UACAGGAUAUACAAUGAAAUACAUUUUGCCGCGGCAAAUAAACCGCUGAAUAACGAAAGCGAUGACUUUUGUGGCGAGUUUACGAUGUCCGCAGUAGCCCUUUUUAUUUUGGGUUGGGUUUGGAAUUCGAGAGUAGGGCUUAAUUUAUAUAAACGAAAUGGGACACAAACAACAUGGGCAUAUUGAUUUCGAAUGAAAGUUAAAUGUGAUUUCAAACAAUCAAAUUGUCUGAUGUACCGUACUAUGUGCCAUAGUAUUAGGUUUUAAAUUGGAAACUAUAGGAACAAAAAUCAAACUAAAUAUCCCUUUUAAUACUUCUGAUGUUAUGGUAUUCAAUCAAAUCCUUUUGGAUUGCAAUAUGUGUCGGCUAUAAUAUCUACUUAUCACCCGCAAAAUAAAACAUGAAGCAUAUUAA